rnacentral:rRNA from 1 species
GACGAACGCUGGCGGCGUGCUUAACACAUGCAAGUCGAACGGAAAGGCCCUGCUUUUGUGGGGUGCUCGAGUGGCGAACGGGUGAGUAACACGUGAGUAACCUGCCCUUGACUUUGGGAUAACUUCAGGAAACUGGGGCUACUACCGGAUAGGAGCUCCUGCUGCAUGGUGGGGGUUGGAAAGUUUCGGCGGUUGGGGAUGGACUCGCGGCUUAUCAGCUUGUUGGUGGGGUAGUGGCUUACCAAGGCUUUGACGGGUAGCCGGCCUGAGAGGGUGACCGGCCACAUUGGGACUGAGAUACGGCCCAGACUCCUACGGGAGGCAGCAGUGGGGAAUAUUGCACAAUGGGCGGAAGCCUGAUGCAGCAACGCCGCGUGCGGGAUGACGGCCUUCGGGGUGUAAACCGCUUUCGCCUGUGACGAAGCGUGAGUGACGGUAAUGGGUAAAGAAGCACCGGCUAACUACGUG